UGUUCCUCUGGUUUUUAUAGGUUCGACUAUUUGACAGUGUGCACUACCUAAAGGCAUUUGGAGUAGGAGAUGUGUGGGUUGCUCUUGGAUGGAGCAGUGAUGUUCUGCCGGCUGCCAAGCGCAUGUCAAACGUUGCAGUAAUUGUUCCAAAGUCUGGAACCAGUUUGUGGGCAGAUCUAUGGAUUUUUUUGAUGAUACUGUUGCUCAAAGAGCUAUCGACUUCAUGUUGGGAUGAUUUUAGCAGAUGCAAUGGGGCUUGGAAAGACUGUAAUGACUAUUGCAGUAAUACUUGGAAAACUAUUUAGGGAGAGUCCAGAUGACCAACAAGUUGAAGAACAAAAUCAGGAUUUUGACAACAAGAAAACAAAGAAUGGUCAGAAAGAUCCUCAAACCAAAAGCCUGCCCACAGUUAAAGGAGGAACUCUUGUUGUCUGUCCAUUGGCAUUGUUAGGCCAGUGGAAGGUAAGAUUUCAUUUCAUUCCAUAAAAUGUUUACUACUAAUCUUGUAGUUAAAGUUGGCAUUCUUUUAAUGAUGCAAUUGAAUGAAAAAUUAAAAUAGCGCAUUGUUGUCUGUCCAAUGGCAUUGUUAGGCCAGUGGAAGGUAAGAUUUCAUUUUUUCCAAUUGUUGAACACACUUCAGUCAAUAGCGCAUCCAAACACAGCCUUGUUGCCU